UACGUAGGGAGCAAGCGUUGUCCGGAAUCAUUGGGCGUAAAGAGCGCGUAGGUGGCUUUAUAAGUCCGUUGUGAAAGUCAAAGGCUCAACCUUUGAAAGCCGAUGGAUACUGUGAAGCUAGAGUACGGAAGAGGCGAGUGGAAUUCCUGGUGUAGCGGUGGAAUGCGCAGAUAUCGAGGAGGAACACCAAUAGCGAAGGCAGCUCGCUGGGACGUUACUGACACUGAGGCGCGGAAAGCGUGGGGAGCGAACAGG
rnacentral:rRNA from 1 species